rnacentral:lncRNA from 1 species
AACAUUGUUAAGAUCUUGCAUCACUUUUAAUGUGUAUAACAGCUGGUCACCAGGUAGCUAUUGCUAUAAUUUCCAUCUUACAGAUGAGGAUGGCAAGGUGCUGAGAGGGUCUUGGUGCUUCGACCCUCGAGGGACCAUCUUUGUCAUUUUCUUCAGUACCGGGGCUUAGGCGAGGGAUGAGAAGAAACUUGGAGGGAAUCAGAGGGCUUAGGGCGUGAUCAGGAGGACUGGACACAUCUCCUUCCUUCAGCAAGUACAGAACUGGCCGUUCCUCAGCCCAUCCCCAGGUGGAGCCUGCACCACGAGGAGGUCUCAAUGGAUGAUUAAAGCAGCAGUAGAUGAUCACUCGAGCGCAGCCACCAUAGCCAGAGGACAAGUUGCAAUGCACACACAAGAGGUAACACACACACACACAGGUGCACCUGCAUGCACACAUACACACGAACUCACACAUGUGUGCAUGCACAUAUACGGCAGCCAGGAAGCCUGGCUCAGUUACUUGAGUGAGUAAUGUCACCUCCCUGUGGUUUGGCAAUCCCUUCAUCAGUGUGAC